rnacentral:tRNA from 1 species
GAUGCGGUAGGGAAGGGGCACCUAGUCACUAAGGGACAAACCCGAUCCGAUCUCCAUCGGAUGCUGUAGAGGGUUACAGCUACGGAGGUUCGAAUCCUCCUCGCAUCA